AAAAUGAAUACAAAAAAGACAACAAAAAAGAAGCGUAAGAGAACAACUGCUCUUCCGCCGAAAAGCUCUCAUCUUUGUCUUCUUCUUCGUCUUCUUUGUCUUCUC
rnacentral:ribozyme from 14 species